AAGCUGGAAUCGCUAGUAAUCGCAGAUCAGAAUGCUGCGGUGAAUACGUUCCCGGGUCUUGUACACACCGCCCGUCACACCAUGGGAGUUGGGAAUGCCCGAAGUCAGUGACCCAACCGCAAGGAGGGAGCUGCCGAAGGCAGGCUUGAUAACUGGGGUGAAGUCGUAACAAGGUACC
rnacentral:rRNA from 1 species